GGAGGAAUAUUGGUCAAUGGGCGGAAGCCUGAACCAGCCAAGUAGCGUGCAGGACGACGGCCCUAUGGGUUGUAAACUGCUUUUAUGCGGGGAUAAAGUGGGCCACGCGUGGCCUUUUGCAGGUACCGCAUGAAUAAGGACCGGCUAAUUCCGUGCCAGCAGCCGCGGUAAUACGGAAGGUCCGGGCGUUAUCCGGAUUUAUUGGGUUUAAAGGGAGCGCAGGCCGCCGGGCAAGCGUGUUGUGAAAUGCAGUCGCUCAACGUCUGCACUGCAGCGCGAACUGCCCAGCUUGAGUGCGCGCAACGUUGGCGGAAUUCGCCGUGUAGCGGUGAAAUGCUUAGA
rnacentral:rRNA from 1 species